rnacentral:hammerhead_ribozyme from 1 species
AUCCAGCUGACGAGUCAUAAAUAACACGAAAUGCACGUCCUGCAU